rnacentral:rRNA from 1 species
AGUGAACGCUGGCGGUAGGCCUAACACAUGCAAGUCGAACGGCAGCACAGGAGAGCUUGCUCUCUGGGUGGCGAGUGGCGGACGGGUGAGGAAUACAUCGGAAUCUACUUUUUCGUGGGGGACAACGUAGGGAAACUUACGCUAAUACCGCAUACGACCUACGGGUGAAAGCAGGGGAUCUUCGGACCUUGCGCGAUUGAAUGAGCCGAUGUCGGAUUAGCUAGUUGGCGGGGUAAAGGCCCACGAAGGCGACGAUCCGUAGCUGGUCUGAGAGGAUGAUCAGCCACACUGGAACUGAGACACGGUCCAGACUCCUACGGGAGGCAGCAGUGGGGAAUAUUGGACAAUGGGCGCAAGCCUGAUCCAGCCAUACCGCGUGGGUGAAGAAGGCCUUCGGGUUGUAAGGCCCUUUUGUUGGGAAAGAAAUCCAGCUGGUUAAUACCCGGUUGGGAUGGCGGUACCCAAAGAAUAAGCACCGGCUAACUUCGUGCCAGCCGCCGCAGUAA